GGGCUCAGGGAGCAGAGUCUGGGGCGUCUCCACCAUGGCCUGGGCUCCCCUUCUCCUCACCCUCCUGGCUCACUGCACAGGGUCCUGGGCCGAGGUUGUGCUGACUCAGCCCCGCUCUGUGUCGGGGUCUCCAGGACAGAAGGUCACCAUCUCCUGCACCCGCAGCAGUGGCAACAUUGGGGGCUCCUAUGUGUACUGGUACCAGCAGCGCCCGGGCAGUGCCCCAACCACUGUGAUCUAUGAAAAUGACAAAAGACCCUCCGGGGUCCCGGAUCGGUUCUCUGGCUCCAUCGACAGCUCCUCCAACGCCGCCCACCUGAGCAUCUCUGGGCUGCAGCCCGAGGACGAGGCCGACUACUACUGUCAGUAUGAGGGCAGUGGGAGCAGCUAUCGUUACUCACAGUGUCUCAGAUGA